rnacentral:rRNA from 1 species
UGAAUCAGUGUGUGUGUUAGUGGAAGCGUCUGGAAAGGCGUGCGAUACAGGGUGACAGCCCCGUACACAAAAAUGCACAUAUUGUGAGCUUGAUGAGUAGGGCGGGACACGUGGUAUCCUGUCUGAAUAUGGGGGGACCAUCCUCCAAGGCUAAAUACUCCUGACUGACCGAUAGUGAACCAGUACCGUGAGGGAAAGGCGAAAAGAACCCCGGCGAGGGGAGUGAAAAAGAACCUGAAACCGUGUACGUACAAGCAGUGGGAGCACGCUUAGGCGUGUGACUGCGUACCUUUUGUAUAAUGGGUCAGCGACUUAUAUUCUGUAGCAAGGUUAACCGAAUAGGGGAGCCGAAGGGAAACCGAGUCUUAACUGGGCGUUAAGUUGCAGGGUAUAGACCCGAAACCCGGUGAUCUAGCCAUGGGCAGGUUGAAGGUUGGGUAACACUAACUGGAGGACCGAACCGACUAAUGUUGAAAAAUUAGCGGAUGACUUGUGGCUGGGGGUGAAAGGCCAAUCAAACCGGGAGAUAGCUGGUUCUCCCCGAAAGCUAUUUAGGUAGCGCCUCGUGAAUUCAUCUCCGGGGGUAGAGCACUGUUUCGGCAAGGGGGUCAUCCCGACUUACCAACCCGAUGCAAACUGCGAAUACCGGAGAAUGUUAUCACGGGAGACACACGGCGGGUGCUAACGUCCGUCGUGAAGAGGGAAACAACCCAGACCGCCAGCUAAGGUCCCAAAGUCAUGGUUAAGUGGGAAACGAUGUGGGAAGGCCCAGACAGCCAGGAUGUUGGCUUAGAAGCAGCCAUCAUUUAAAGAAAGCGUAAUAGCUCACUGGUCGAGUCGGCCUGCGCGGAAGAUGUAACGGGGCUAAACCAU